AACUUUGUCAGCGAUAACGGUUUCCAAAUCACCGCAAGCGUGAAAUGGAAUUAAAAGGGAAUCCUGUGAAAAUCAGGGACUAUCCCCGUAGCUGUAAGUUUCAUCUCCCUACCAUGUGGAGAAAAGAUUGUGGCACUCUUUAGCCACUGGUCCUGCAAAGACCGGGAAGGCGCCAUAACGGAAACAAGUCAGAAGACCUGCCGAUAUCUGUAAUCAUUCA
rnacentral:ncRNA from 21 species